GUGGAUCUACUUCUUUUGUUGCUACAUUAACAUUUUAAGUGGUUAUUUAAACAUGAUCUCAGAUUUUUGGAAGCCAGAAUUCUGGCUCUUUGGAAGUGAAGCACAAUCAGAAAAACACAAAUCUGAUCUUUCCCUUUCCUCUUGCACCAAUAACAAGA